AUGCCUAACACAUGCAAGUCGAACGGUAACAGGUCUUCGGAUGCUGACGAGUGGCGCACGGGUGAGUAACGCGUGGAUAUCUGCCUAUGAGUGGGGGAUAACUUUCGGAAACGAAAGCUAAUACCGCAUAAUCUCUACGGAGCAAAGCAGGGGACCUUUCGGGGCCUUGUGCUUAUAGAUGAGUCCGCGUCAGAUUAGCUAGUUGGUGGGGUAAGAGCCUACCAAGGCGAUGAUCUGUAGCUGGUUUGAGAGGAUGAUCAGUCACACUGGAACUGAGACACGGUCCAGACUCCUACGGGAGGCAGCAGUGGGGAAUUUUGCACAAUGGGCGCAAGCCUGAUGCAGCGAUGCCGCGUGUGGGAAGAAGGCCUUUGGGUUGUAAACCACUUUCAAUUGGGAAGAAGGGAUGAGUAUUAAUAAUACUCUGACUUGACGGUACCUUUAGAAGAAGCACCGGCUAAUUUCGUGCCAGCAGCCGCGGUAAUACGAAAGGUGCAAGCGUUGUUCGGAUUUACUGGGGCGUAAAGAGAUCGUAGGUGGUUUGUUAAGUUAGAUGUGAAAUCCCGGGGCUCAACCUCGGAACUGCAUCUAAAACUGGCAGACUUGAGUUCGGGAGGGGUAAGCGGAAUUCCGUGUGUAGCAGUGAAAUGCGUAGAUAUACGGAGGAACACCUGAGGCGAAGGCGGCUUACUGGACCGAUACUGACACUGAGGAUCGAAAGCGUGGGUAGCAAACAGGAUUAGAUACCCUGGUAGUCCACGCCCUAAACGAUGUCAACUAGCCGUUGCGGGUAUCGACCCCUGCAGUGGCGCAGCUAACGC
rnacentral:rRNA from 1 species